UCUGUGUAUAAACUUAGUGUAUUACAAUCAGAUUACAUUUGGUACAAAUUACAAUUAGUCCUUACAGUUUUGUGUGAGUAUAUGUGUUCUUGCACUCCAGGCUGGAGGAUCCAGGAUCGCUCAACUUACAGUGUGAGUGAUUCUUGAAACCUACCUAUUUUUGGAAUGAGUCUGGUAACUGGAGCAGAAGCUUUGUUGGAGAGGCCUUGCUUGUAGUUAGGACUUCACAGAUGGAACAGAAUUCUGAAGAUGAAGUGAAAUUUGAUGCUUGAACAAGCCUCCUCAGCUGCAAAUUGAUGGAUACAGAGAACCAGCCACAUGGAGUGUUCAUAUGAUUGUUGCCAUCUGUCUUUAAAUAUAACAUUCUACCAUGCGUCUCUAAGUAACAACAAAAUCUCCACCUGGAACCACUAAUGAAGCUUAAGUCUACAUUUCCCAAACAUACAGAUUAUGGAAAGAUCAAGAACUAAAGAGAGAACAAGAUAACUUAUAUGAAGAAAAUAUGAAUAUUAUAAAAGAAGAUAGGAAAAGUGAAAGAAAGUAGGGAAUUAAUUGAACAGCAGGAAGAAGAUGGACAAUUUCCAAGAACAAUAUAUUCCUCCCACUCUAAAACUGGGGAGUUUAAUUUCCUCCAUUUCUUUCAUAAUGACUGGGAGAAACUCUUCAGAGCUAAUACAUUUUAUUUGUUUAGUUAGAAAAUACUUAUUAUACAGGACCUACAUAAAUGUCAAUAGAGUUGUUUUGACUCUUUAUUAAAAUUUUAUAUUCUUAGAUACUAUAUGCUAUACUACAUUUUAAAAUAGCCUUCACAAAUAGAAUUGCUCUACUUUUGUUGCUAAAUUUGGAAUGAAUUAGGAGAGCUUUAGAAUGCAUUAAAAUUAACUUUAUGCGUAUAAAAUCACCUUUUGAAUUUUUUUUAAUAAAACUGUCUAACCAAAUUUAAGCUGAAGGAGACUUUAUGAACUGAUUUAAGAAAAGCAAUUGCAUCCUGGGACAUCAUAAAAUGAGCAGGAUUCAAAAUAAUUAAGCCCCCUCUUACCUGUAGGGUGAUUUCUAAUUAGAAGUUUCUUCUUGGAGAGUAUAGUAUUGUGUCAUCAAACUUCAGUCCCUUCUUAAUAUGUCCUGGAUAUAGACCUUCAAUUAAGGAAAUUCAUGUCCAAAUACUCCAUUUAAGAGAGUAGAUUUGCACUGCCUACUUCUCAAACUAAGUGGGAUUUUGGAAACUCCCCAAUUCUUUUUCAAUUCCCAAAGGAACAUUAAAAUUUACAAGUUAGAUAAUACUUUUUAAAGACAGAAAGUGCUUCCUCUAUAUUGAUACUUUAUUUUUUUUCAAAAAGCAUUAGAGGCCAUGAAGGGUGAAUCUUUAUACUACCUAGCCAGAAAUUGGUAGCUAUGUAGAGAAUAAAGAUAUUAUCUUAUUGGAGUCAUCUUCAUAUUUUGAAACACUUUGUGACUAGAGAAUAAAUGCAGAUGCUUAGCUUGA